UACGUAGGUGGCAAGCGUUUGUCCGGAUUUACUGGGCGUAAAGAGCGCGCAGGCGGUCGACCAAGUCGCGUGUGAAAGCCCCCGGCUCAACUGGGGAGGGUCACGCGAUACUGAUCGACUCGAAGGCAGGAGAGGGUAGUGGAAUUCCCGGGUGUAGUGGUGAAAUGCGUAGAUAUCGGGAGGAACACCAGUGGCGAAGGCGACUACCUGGCCUGUUCUUGACGCUGAGGCGCGAAAGCUAGGGGAGCAAACGGG
rnacentral:rRNA from 1 species